UACGUAGGUGGCAAGCGUUGUCCGGAAUUAUUGGGCGUAAAGCGCGCGCAGGCGGUCCUUUAAGUCUGAUGUGAAAGCCCACGGCUCAACCGUGGAGGGUCAUUGGAAACUGGGGGACUUGAGUGCAGAAGAGGAAAGCGGAAUUCCACGUGUAGCGGUGAAAUGCGCAGAUAUUAGGAGGAACACCGGUGGCGAAGGCGCCACUCUGGGCCGAAACUGACGCUGAGGAGCGAAAGCAUGGGUAGCAAACAGG
rnacentral:rRNA from 1 species